rnacentral:rRNA from 1 species
GACGUAGGAGGCGAGCGUUGUCCGGAUUCAUUGGGCGUAAAGAGCACGCAGGCGGUUUGGCAAGUCGGAUGUGAAAGCCCGGAGCUCAACUCCGGACCUGCAUCCGAAACUGCCCGACUAGAGGUAGGUAGGGGAGAUCGGAAUUCCUGGUGUAGCGGUGAAAUGUGUAGAGAUCGGGAGGAACACCGGUGGCGAAGGCGGGUCUCUGGGCAAUUCCUGACGCUGAGGCGCGAAAGCGUGGGGAGCAAACGGG